rnacentral:rRNA from 1 species
CCUGAUCCCAUUCCGAACUCAGCAGUGAAACGAUGCAUCGCCGAUGGUAGUGUGGGGACUCCCCAUGUGAGAGUAGGUCAUCGUCAAGC